AUACGUAGGGAGCGAGCGUUGUCCGGAAUUACUGGGCUUAAAGGGAGCGCAGGCGGAGAUGCAAGCGUGACGUCAAAUUUCGGGGCUCAACCCCGUCUCGCGUCGCGAACUGCGUCCCUUGGUUGCGGGAAGGGGAGGCGGAACUUGUGGGGGAGAGGGGUAAUGCAUAGAUAUCACGAAGAACUCCGAUAGCGAAGGAAGCCUUCCGGCCCGUCAACGACGCUCAUGCUCGAAGGUGCGGGUAUCAAACAGGAUUAGAUCCCCUGGUAGUCCGCACAGUAAACGAUGGACACCCGCGGUUUGGCCUGUAUGGCUGAGCCGCCAAGCGAAAGCGUUAAGUGUCCCACCUGGGGAGUACGCCGGCAACGGUGAAACUCAAAUGAAUUGACGGGG
rnacentral:rRNA from 1 species